rnacentral:rRNA from 1 species
CAGUAGCCGCGGGAACACGAAGGGAGCUAGCGUUGUUCGGAUUUACUGGGCGUAAAGCGCACGUAGGCGGAUUGGUCAGUUAGGGGUGAAAUCCUGGAGCUCAACUCCAGAACUGCCUUUAAUACUGCCAGUCUCGAGUCCGGAAGAGGUAAGUGGAACUCCUAGUGUAGAGGUGGAAUUCGUAGAUAUUAGGAAGAACACCAGUGGCGAAGGCGGCUUACUGGUCCUGUACUGACGCUGAGGUGCGAAAGCGUGGGGAGCAAACAGGAUUAGAUACCCCGGUAGUCCCUGUCUCUUAUAC